rnacentral:rRNA from 1 species
GCGCGAAACCUCCACAAUGUGGGCAACCACGAUGGGGGAACUCCAAGUGCUUACACUUUUGUGUAAGCUGUUCUCGAGCCUAAAAAGCUCGAGAAGUAAGGGCCGGGUAAGACGGGUGCCAGCCGCCGCGGUAAUACCCGCGGCCCGAGUGGUGCUCAUUAUUAUUGAGCCUAAAGCGUCCGUAGCUGGCCGGGCAAAUCUCCGGGUAAAUCGGGCCGCUCAACGGUCCGAAUUCCGGAGACACUGCUCGGCUUGGGAUCGGGAGAGGGUGAAGGUACUCCCGGGGUAGGGGUAAAAUCCUGUAAUCCUGGGGGGACCACCAGUGGCGAAGGCGUUCACCUAGAACGAAUCCGACAGUGAGGGACGAAGCCCUAGGGCGCAAACGGG